rnacentral:sRNA from 1 species
AUCUAGCCCCGAUAGCAGCGUUUCCAAUUUUCAAUUGGAAGUAGUGAAUAGCGGGAACAAGG